UCAGAGUGGAAUGAGAUCACUUAUCAAAUUGGCAACAGGUCCUCUCUGGCCAUCUCCGUAUAGUUUGACCCAAUGAGUUUGGUUCUCCCUUCUUUGUCAAUUCCCCUGUCUCCUGAAUGUCUCAUUCUCAAACUAAUUUUGCUUGAAAUUGUGGCUGGAGAUGGUAUGUUUGAAACUUAAUAUGAUGAACAUAGAACAGAUUUCAACACCUUUUUAGCAAAAGAUGUUCACAUAAACCUGAAAUGAAUAUAGCCAAAGAGGACGUGGUCUUUCAGCACCUCCAGCUAAAAAAUGCUGCAGAGGAACUUCCUGUAUUAAGUACAGAUGGGGUUUCACCAUGUUCGCCAGGAUGGUCUCGAUCUCCUGACCUCGUGAUCUGUCCACCUCUGCCUCCCAAAGUGCUGAGAUUACAGGUGUGAGCCACCACUCCCAGCCUUUGUCAUCAUUUCAGAUAGGGUGAAGGAAUGGUUUAA
rnacentral:lncRNA from 1 species